rnacentral:rRNA from 1 species
CCUACCGGGGAGGCAGCAGUGAGGAAUAUUGGACAAUGGGCGAGAGCCUGAUCCAGCCAUGCCGCGUGCAGGAAGACGGCCCUAUGGGUUGUAAACUGCUUUUGUACGGGAAGAAACCUACCCUCGUGAGGGUAGCUGACGGUACCGUAAGAAUAAGCACCGGCUAACUCCGUGCCAGCAGCCGCGGUAAUACGGAGGGUGCAAGCGUUAUCCGGAAUCAUUUGGGUUUAAAGGGUCCGUAGUCGGGCUGAUAAGUCAGUGGUGAAAUGACAGGGGCUCAACUCCGGCACUGCCAUUGAUACUGUUAGUCUUGAAUUAGUUGUGAAGUGGUUAGAAUAUGUAGUGUAGCGGUGAAAUGCUUAGAUAUUACAUAGAAUACCGAUUGCGAAGGCAGAUCACUAACAAUACAUUGACGCUGAUGGACGAAAGCGUGGGUAGGCGAACAGGAUUAGAUACCCCUGCUAGUCCACGCCGUCAACGAUGGUUACUAGCUGUUCGGUACGGAUUAAGUAGCUGAGUGGCUCAAGCGCAAAGUGCAGUAAGUAACCCAGCACUG